rnacentral:misc_RNA from 1 species
GAUGAAGAACGUAGCGAAAUGCGAUAAGUAAUGUGAAUUGCAGAAUUCCGUGAAUCAUCGAAUCUUUGAACGCACAUUGCGCCCUCUGGUAUUCCGGGGGGCAUGCCUGUCCGAGCGUCAUUUGCAACCCUCAAGCCCGGCUUGUGUGAUGGGUGCCGUCCCCUACGGGACGCGCCCCGAAGGUAAUGGCGGCGUCGCGGUUAUCCGAUCAGCCAAAGUGUAUGGGGCUUUGUCACUCACUUUACGGCCCGGACCGGCGCCAGUCCGAAUCAAUCUUUUUUCUAAAGUUGACCUCGGAUCAGGUAGGGAUACCCGCUGAACUUAAGCAUAUCAAUAAGCGGAGGA